rnacentral:rRNA from 1 species
CACUCCUACGGGAGGCAGCAGUGGGGAAUAUUGGACAAUGGGCGCAAGCCUGAUCCAGCCAUGCCGCGUGAGUGAUGAAGGCCCUAGGGUUGUAAAGCUCUUUCACCGGAGAAGAUAAUGACGGUAUCCGGAGAAGAAGCCCCGGCUAACUUCGUGCCAGCAGCCGCGGUAAUACGAAGGGGGCUAGCGUUGUUCGGAAUUACUGGGCGUAAAGCGCACGUAGGCGGAUCGAUCAGUCAGGGGUGAAAUCCCAGGGCUCAACCCUGGAACUGCCUUUGAUACUGUCGAUCUGGAGUAUGGAAGAGGUGAGUGGAAUUCCGAGUGUAGAGGUGAAAUUCGUAGAUAUUCGGAGGAACACCAGUGGCGAAGGCGGCUCACUGGUCCAUUACUGACGCUGAGGUGCGAAAGCGUGGGGAGCAAACAGGAUUAGAUACCCCAGUAGUCCCA